rnacentral:rRNA from 1 species
GACGAACGCUGGCGGCGUGCUUAACACAUGCAAGUCGAACGGAAAGGCCCUGCUUUUGUGGGGUGCUCGAGUGGCGAACGGGUGAGUAACACGUGAGUAACCUGCCCUUGACUUUGGGAUAACUUCAGGAAACUGGGGCUAAUACCGGAUAGGAGCUCCUGCUGCAUGGUGGGGGUUGGAAAGUUUCGGCGGUUGGGGAUGGACUCGCGGCUUAUCAGCUUGUUGGUGGGGUAGUGGCUUACCAAGGCUUUGACGGGUAGCCGGCCUGAGAGGGUGACCGGCCACAUUGGGACUGAGACACGGCCCAGACUCCUACGGGAGGCAGCAGUGGGGAAUAUUGCACAAUGGGCGGAAGCCUGAUGCAGCAACGCCGCGUGCGGGAUGACGGCCUUCGGGUUGUAAACCGCUUUCGCCUGUGACGAAGCGUGAGUGACGGUGAUGGGUAAAGAAGCACCGGCUAACUACGUGCCAGCAGCCGCGGUGAUACGUAGGGUGCGAGCGUUGUCCGGAUUUAUUGGGCGUAAAGGGCUCGUAGGUGGUUGAUCGCGUCGGAAGUGUAAUCUUGGGGCUUAACCCUGAGCGUGCUUUCGAUACGGGUUGACUUGAGGAAGGUAGGGGAGAAUGGAAUUCCUGGUGGAGCGGUGGAAUGCGCAGAUAUCAGGAGGAACACCAGUGGCGAAGGCGGUUCUCUGGGCCUUUCCUGACGCUGAGGAGCGAAAGCGUGGGGAGCGAACAGGCUUAGAUACCCUGGUAGUCCACGCUGUAAACGGUGGGUACUAGGUGUGGGGUCCAUUCCACGGGUUCCGUGCCGUAGCUAACGCUUUAAGUACCCCGCCUGGGGAGUACGGCCGCAAGGCUAAAACUCAAAGGAAUUGACGGGGCCCCGCACAAGCGGCGGAGCAUGCGGAUUAAUUCGAUGCAACGCGUAGAACCUUACCUGGGUUUGACAUGGAUCGGGAGUGCUCAGAGAUGGGUGUGCCUCUUUUGGGGUCGGUUCACAGGUGGUGCAUGGCUGUCGUCAGCUCGUGUCGUGAGAUGUUGGGUUAAGUCCCGCAACGAGCGCAACCCUUGUUCACUGUUGCCAGCACGUUAUGGUGGGGACUCAGUGGAGACCGCCGGGGUCAACUCGGAGGAAGGUGGGGAUGACGUCAAGUCAUCAUGCCCCUUAUGUCCAGGGCUUCACGCAUGCUGCAAUGGCUGGUACAGAGAGUGGCGAGCCUGUGAGGGUGAGCGAAUCUCGGAAAGCCGGUCUCAGUUCGGAUUGGGGUCUGCAACUCGACCUCAUGAAGUCGGAGUCGCUAGUAAUCGCAGAUCAGCAACGCUGCGGUGAAUACGUUCCCGGG